CAGCAGCCACGGGAAUACGGAGGAUCCAAGCGUUAUCCGGAAUCAUUGGGUUUAAAGGGUCCGUAGGCGGUCUUGUAAGUCAGUGGUGAAAGCCCAUCGCUCAACGGUGGAACGGCCAUUGAUACUGCAGGACUUGAAUUAUUGGGAAGUAACUAGAAUAUGUAGUGUAGCGGUGAAAUGCUUAGAGAUUACAUGGAAUACCAAUUGCGAAGGCAGGUUACUACCAAUUGAUUGACGCUGAUGGACGAAAGCGUGGGUAGCGAACAGGAUUAGAUACCCGAGUAGUCCCUGUCUCUUAUAC
rnacentral:rRNA from 1 species